UUUAUAAGUCAGCUUUCUAAGAUAUCUGUUUCCAGCAAGUCAGUUGUCUUCAGUAGUGUGGAAGUGUGUUUGUAUCCGGCACCGGUUAACUGAAUUAAGUGUGUGCUAUUAUGUAAUAAGUUUUCCGUGCUGCUCCUGCAGGGGGCGCUGAAUGAUCAGAAAGCAGAGUUUACUUCCUUCCACAAUCUCUCUGAGUUUGGCAGCUGGUAGAAAAUGUGGCAAUCGCAGUGGGAAGGUCAGGAAGCAAAAUUGGUGAGAGAAGGCAGACAGGAUCCGGAAAAUUCCAGGAGCCUGGACUCGAACCUUGGAUUCUUUAUACGCAAUUGCACCAGAGGAAGCCAAUUUGGAGAGAGAAGGCAGACGGGAUCCGGAAAAGUCCACGAGCCUGGACUUGAACUCAGGAUUCAUGGUGCAUAAUACAUAACAUUUAUGACGUAACAAAGCCUUGUUUGCUGAAAUCAUGUGACUUUGGCAGUUUGAUACACGCUCCGAACCACUGAUUCGAAACAAAAGAUUCGUAAAGCUUCAUGAAGCAGUGUUUUGAAAUCAUCCAUCACUAGAUAUUGUUGAAUAAAAUCGUUAUUUUGUUUUUUUGGUGCACAAAAAGUAUUCUCGUCGCUUCAUAACAUUAAGGUUGAACCACUGUAGUCACAUGAACUGUUUUAAAUAUGUCUUUAGUACCUUUUUGGGCAUCUGAAAGUGUUAAUUAUCUUGCUGUCAAUGGAGGCCUCACUGAGCCAUCGGAUUUUAUCAGAAAGAUCUUAAUUUGUAUUCUGAAGAUGAACGAAGGUCUUACGGGUGUGGAACAGCGUGAGCGUGAGUAAAUACAAGUUAAUACCGUACUCAUCAUUGCAUUUUAUAUGAGAUGGUGGGUUGGACAUCAUUAGCUAUAUAUAGAAAACAGCACUGGUACAUUUUUAUUUAUAAAGCAAUGUUAGGUAAACUUCCAGCUUAUCUCUGUACUCUUCUUUGUCUUUGUUCAGCUACGAUCUUCCAAGUGUUUGCUUUUUAACAUAACGAGUUUGUACAGAAAUGGGGAAAACUGCUUUUUCAUAUUAUGCACCCCGGGCAUGGAAUAAUUUGCAAAAAAGAUCUAAAACUAGAUAAAUUUGUGUCUAUUGGUGAAUUUAAAUGCAUUACACAGAGAGUGGUAUUGAAAGUUUGUGAUUGUUUUUGUUGAUAGGAUGUGUUUAAAUAUUGUUGUAAUGUGUACCUGUUGUAUUUUAAAAUUGUCUUACUGUUUGGCUGUUACCUUGGCCAGGUCUCUCUUGUAAAAGAGAUUUUAAAUCUCAAUGAGACUUCCUGGUUAAGUAAAGGUAAAAUAAAAAAUACAAUGAAGAUGAAUGGUUUAAUCAA